rnacentral:lncRNA from 1 species
AGUAAGAUAUGUGUGUUAUAAUUAUUGUUAUUCUUAACUUUUCUUUCCUAAUGCAGACGCACUUGGUGUCUUCCAGAGGAUAUUUCACAGAAUUAAGGUCACAUGCAAAUGACAAGUAAUUCUCGUUUUUGUUAGGAUGCUAAAGGCCAAUAAGAUUAUUCCACUCUAGACUCUAGACUCUAGACAAUUAUAUUGAGAGGAAGGUGGACGCAAAAUAUGAAUGGCAAUCUAUACCAAAUAUUAAGUGGUUAGAUUAUGAAGAUUGUUUUUAUGAAUUUGGGGAGUCGGUGUACAAGAAUUGUACAAUAAAGUAAUUUUCAAAGUUUAUCUCAUUAUCGUAAUUAGAGAGACAAAAAGCAAGUUCUCAUUUAAGAAAAAAAAGAAGAAGAAAAGGAAAAAAGAGGAAGACAAAAGCAAGUUGUAUAAGUAUUUGGGGGAGC